rnacentral:rRNA from 1 species
AUUCAUAAUGGAAAGGAACAUAUACCUAUUUACAUAACAAAUCAUAUUAUAAGCUGCAAAUUGGCUGGAUUCUUGCCUACUCAGCAUUUCAUGAGUUAUCAAAAUGCAAGAAAGGGUACUUAAUCUUGUCGUUAA